rnacentral:rRNA from 1 species
GUCCACGCCGUAAACGGUGGGCACUAGUUGUGGGAACCUUCCACGGUUUCUGCGACGCAGCUAACGCAUUAAGUGCCCCGCCUGGGGAGUACGAUCGCAAGAUUAAAACUCAAAGGAAUUGACGGGGCCCCGCACAAGCAGCGGAGCAUGCGGCUUAAUUCGACGCAACGCGAAGAACCUUACCAAGGCUUGACAUAUACCGGAAUAUGGCAGAAAUGUCAUAGCUGUAAAAGGUCGGUAUACAGGUGGUGCAUGGUUGUCGU